CCCGAUGCAUGCUCAGUACGGCGAGUGAGCGGCAAAAGCUCAAAUUUUAAAGCUGGCACCUUCGGUGUCCGCGUUGUAAUUUUGUGAGGCAUCUCCGGGUAGGGCGCCGGCCUAAGUUCCUUGGAACAGGACGUCAUAGAGGGUGAGAAUCCCGUGCUUGGCUGGCUGUCCCCGUCCAUGUGAGGUGUCUUCGACGAGUCGAGUUGUUUGGGAAUGCAGCUCAAAAUGGGUGGUAAAUUUCAUCUAAAGCUAAAUAUUGGUGGGAGACCGAUAGCGCACAAGUAGAGUGAUCGAAAGAUGAAAAGCACUUUGAAAAUAGAGUUAAAAAGUACGUGAAAUUGUUGAAAGGGAAGCGCUUGAGACCAGACUUCGGUGGGGAGUGAUCAGCUGUCCUUCUGGGCGGUGCACUUGCUCCCCUCCGGGCCAGCAUCGGUUGGGACGGCGGGAUAAAGGUCCCGGGAAUGUGGCUCCUCUCGGGGAGUGUUAUAGCCCGGGUGAAUGCCGCCAGCCCCGACCGAGGACCGCGCCUUCGGGCUAGGAUGCUUGGCAUAAUGGUCUUCAGCGACCCGUCUUGAAACCACGGACCA
rnacentral:rRNA from 1 species